AAUUUUCCAAAGGACUCAAGCCCUUUCUCAAGAUCGACACGCAGAGGUUCAGCUGUGUGGAGGUGGAUUGAGCUGCUCACUGGAGCAACGCACUGUUUUCCAGCAACAAAUCUAGUGGACUAUUGAAUCACAAAAGGGAUUUCAAGAUUCUGCUUCUGGCCCAUUUUCCACUGCCGGAACAAAGCUACGCUGUCACUUGUCCGCGUUGUGAAAUGAUGCUGACGUGGAUGAGUUACCCAAAAAUGUUCCUGGGGCACUAG
rnacentral:lncRNA from 1 species